GUUCCCCCCAUAGCCUCAGCCUGCAUCUCUUGCCAUAGGCAGGCAAAUGAGUCGUGGCAGACGGAAGAGGAGCUGGUGACAGCCACGGAAAACCUGGAGACGCUGAAGCUGCAGCCUGGGAGCUCCGGGAUGCAGCAGCCCAAGGAGCCAGGGAUGCUGCAGGUCGGGCCUGGGAACCUGGGAUCAGUGCAGGCCACGAGCCCAGGGCCAGUGCAGGUGAUGGCCAUGAGCCCAGGGAUGCUGCAGGUCAGCCCUGGGACCCUGGGGCCAGUGCAGGUGAUGGCCACGAGCCCUGCGCUGCUGCAGCCACAGCCCCCAGGCCUGGAGCCAUCGCAGCCACUGCAGGUCUUGGAGAUGCUGCAGCCGGGGAUUGGGAGCGUGGAGCCACAGUUGGUGCUGCAGCUCAUCCCUGAGGGCCAGGGGAUGCUGCAGCCGGGACCAGGAGCUGUGGCCAUGCUGCAAGUGGUGCCUGGAGGGCAGCCGGUGCCUGGGGAGGCAGGGAUGCUGCAGCCGGUGCCCGGAGACACGGGGUUACCACAAACAAUGCUCCAGGAUACAGGGGUGCCACAGACAAUGCUCCAGGAUACAGGGAUGCCACAGCCAGUGCCUGGGGAUGCGGGGAUGCUGCAGACGGUGCCCAAGCACACAGGGAUGCUGCAGCCGGUGCCCGAGCACACAGGGAUGCUGCAGACGGUACUCAGUGAUGUGGGGAUGCUGCAGCCAGUGCCAGGGGCUGUGGAGCCGCUGCUGGUCCCUGAGGAGCCGGAGCCGCUGCCACUGGAGCUGAGGGACCUGGAGCCGCUGCCCGGGAGCCUGGACAUGCAGGAGCUGCUGCAGUCGCUCGCAGAGGGCUCCGGGAGCCUGGAAGCGCUGGAGGCUGUGGAGCUGAUGCCCAACGCGCUGGAGGCCGUGGAGGGGCCAGGGCUGGAGGGUGAGCUCCGGGGCCGGCAGGGGCAGGGGGUCCCCUUCGGCGCUGAGCUCCUCGUGCCCCCCGCAGGCAGCUCCGCGCUCCUGGAUGCCCAUGACCCGUUCCUGCCGCAGCCCGAGGACGUGGCUCUGCCUGCGGCCGUCGGGUCCCUCUUCAGCACCGACUUCCCCCCGCUCCACAUCGAUGCCAACGACUUCCAGUGACCCCCCCGCAAAUAAACCUGUUCCCAGCCGGGUCUGAGCCGCA
rnacentral:lncRNA from 14 species